CUGAGGCAGAGGAAGGAGGGGAUUGGGGUCGAUUCCAUCGCGCCGCCCCACAGCGCUGGACUUCGCCCCACAUCGACCCAUUUCCCAUCGACUUCCCAACCUCUGCACAGAGCAAAAUCAACCUUUGGGGGUUUUUUCAACCUUUCUGUCGUUUGGGGUUUGGGGGCUGAGGGGUGAAGGGUCGCAGUUUGGCCCCAUGGGGCAUCGGGAGAGCGGGCAGGGCUGUGGGAAACGGGGCUGUGGGGUCGGAGCUGAACCCGAGUGGGGACCCCAAAUCCUUUGUGUCCUAUGGGGUCCUAUUGGAAUCCAACAGGUGACCCCAAAUCCUUUGUGUCAUAUGGGAACCCAGCAGGUGACCCCAAAUCCUUUGUGUCCUAUGGGAACCCAACAGGUGACCCCAAAUCCUUUGUGUCCUAUGGGAACCCAAGAGGUGACCCCAAAUCCUUUGUGUCCUAUGGGAACCCAACAGGUGACCCCAAAUCCUUUGUGUCCUAUGGGAACCCAAGAGGUGACCCCAAAUCCUUUGUGCCCUAUGGGAACCCAAGAGGUGACCCCAAAUCCUUUGUGUCCUAUGGGAACCCAGCAGGUGACCCCAAAUCCUUUGUGUCCUAUGGGGUCCUAUGGGAACCCAACAGGUGCCCCCAAAUCCUUUGUGUCCUAUGGGAACCCAAGAGGUGACCCCAAAUCCUUUGCGUCCUAUGGGAACCCAACAGGUGACCCCAAAUCCUUUGUGUCCUAUGGGAACCCAGCAGGUGACCCCAAAUCCUUUGUGCCCUAUGGGAACCCAAGAGGUGACCCCAAAUCCUUUGUGUCCUAUGGGAACCCAGCAGGUGACCCCAAAUCCUUUGUGUCCUAUGGGGUCCUAUGGGAACCCAGCAGGUGACCCCAAAUCCUUUGUGUCCUAUGGGGUCCUAUGGGAACCCUACAGGUGACCCCAAAUCCUUUGUGUCCUAUGGGAACCCAAGAGGUGACCCCAAAUCCUUUGUGUCCUAUGGGAACCCAGCAGGUGACCCCAAAUCCUUUGUGUCCUAUGGGGUCCUAUGGGAACCCAGCAGGUGACCCCAAAUCCUUUGUGUCCUAUGGGGUCCUAUGGGAACCCAGCAGGUGACCCCAAAUCCUUUGUGUCCUAUGGGGUCCUAUGGGAACCCAGCAGGUGACCCCAAAUCCUUUGUGUCCUAUGGGGUCCUAUGGGAACCCUACAGGUGACCCCAAAUCCUUUGUGUCCUAUGGGAACCCAAGAGGUGACCCCAAAUCCUUUGUGUCCUAUGGGAACCCAGCAGGUGACCCCAAAUCCUUUGUGUCCUAUGGGGUCCUAUGGGAACCCAGCAGGUGACCCCAAAUCCUUUGUGUCCUAUGGGGUCCUAUGGGAACCCUACAGGUGACCCCAAAUCCUUUGUGUCCUAUGGGGUCCUAUGGGAACCCUACAGGUGACCCCAAAUCCUUUGUGUCCUAUGGGGUCCUAUGGGAAGCCUACAGGUGACCCCAAAUCCUUUGUGUCCUAUGGGAACCCAGCAGGUGACCCCAAAUCCUUUGUGUCCUAUGGGGUCCUAUGGGAACCCAGCAGGUGACCCCAAAUCCUUUGUGUCCUAUGGGGUCCUAUGGGAACCCAGCAGGUGACCCCAAAUCCUUUGUGUCCUAUGGGAACCCAAGAGGUGACCCCAAAUCCUUUGUGUCCUAUGGGGUCCUAUGGGAACCCAACAGGUGACCCCAAAUCCUUUGUGUCCUAUGGGAACCCAACAGGUGACCCCAAAUCCUUUGUGUCCUAUGGGAACCCAGCAGGUGACCCCAAAUCCUUUGUGUCCUAUGGGGUCCUAUGGGAACCCAGCAGGUGACCCCAAAUCCUUUGUGUCCUAUGGGGUCCUAUGGAAAAGGGGGAGG